GGGUUGUGAGGUUAAGCGACUAAGCGUACACGGUGGAUGCCCUGGCAGUCAGAGGCGAUGAAGGACGUGCUAAUCUGCGAUAAGCGCCGGUAAGGUGAUAUGAACCGUUAUAACCGGCGAUUUCCGAAUGGGGAAACCCAGUGUGACUCGUCACACUAUCAUUAACUGAAUCCAUAGGUUAAUGAGGCGAACCGGGGGAACUGAAACAUCUAAGUACCCCGAGGAAAAGAAAUCAACCGAGAUUCCCCCAGUAGCGGCGAGCGAACGGGGAGGAGCCCAGAGCCUGAAUCAGCAUGUGUGUUAGUGGAAGCGUCUGGAAAGGCGCGCGAUACAGGGUGACAGCCCCGUACACAAAAGCGCAUAUGCUGUGAGCUCGAUGAGUAGGGCGGGACACGUGGUAUCCUGUCUGAAUAUGGGGGGACCAUCCUCCAAGGCUAAAUACUCCUGACUGACCGAUAGUGAACCAGUACCGUGAGGGAAAGGCGAAAAGAACCCCGGCGAGGGGAGUGAAAAAGAACCUGAAACCGUGUACGUACAAGCAGUGGGAGCCCCACCACUAAGCCAGUGGUGAACUCCACAUACGCAUCCUUUGCUGAGGAUACGGUUAACGGAGCGAAAGCGACGUUCAACCGCAAAAGAAGCAGAGGGGGCUUAGUGGUGGGGUGACUGCGUACCUUUUGUAUAAUGGGUCAGCGACUUAUAUUCUGUAGCAAGGUUAACCGAAUAGGGGAGCCGGAGGGAAACCGAGUCUUAACCGGGCGUUAAGUUGCAGGGUAUAGACCCGAAACCCGGUGAUCUAGCCAUGGGCAGGUUGAAGGUUGGGUAACACUAACUGGAGGACCGAACCGACUAAUGUUGAAAAAUUAGCGGAUGACCUGUGGCUGGGGGUGAAAGGCCAAUCAAACCGGGAGAUAGCUGGUUCUCCCCGAAAGCUAUUUAGGUAGCGCCUCGUGAAUUCAUCUCCGGGGGUAGAGCACUGUUUCGGCUAGGGGGCCAUCCCGGCUUACCAACCCGAUGCAAACUGCGAAUACCGGAGAAUGUUAUCACGGGAGACACACGGCGGGUGCUAACGUCCGUCGUGAAGAGGGAAACAACCCAGACCGCCAGCUAAGGUCCCAAAGUCAUGGUUAAGUGGGAAACGAUGUGGGAAGGCCCAGACAGCCAGGAUGUUGGCUUAGAAGCAGCCAUCAUUUAAAGAAAGCGUAAUAGCUCACUGGUCGAGUCGGCCUGCGCGGAAGAUGUAACGGGGCUAAACCAUGCACCGAAGCUGCGGCAGCGACGCUGAUGCGUUGUUGGGUAGGGGAGCGUUCUGUAAGCCUGUGAAGGUGGCCUGUGAGGGUUGCUGGAGGUAUCAGAAGUGCGAAUGCUGACAUAAGUAACGAUAAAGCGGGUGAAAAGCCCGCUCGCCGGAAGACCAAGGGUUCCUGUCCAACGUUAAUCGGGGCAGGGUGAGUCGACCCCUAAGGCGAGGCCGAAAGGCGUAGUCGAUGGGAAACGGGUUAAUAUUCCCGUACUUGGUGUUACUGCGAAGGGGGGACGGAGAAGGCUAUGUUGGCCGGGCGACGGUUGUCCCGGUUUAAGCGUGUAGGUGUGUGUUCCAGGUAAAUCCGGUUCACUUUAACACUGAGGCGUGAUGACGAGGCACUACGGUGCUGAAGCAACAAAUGCCCUGCUUCCAGGAAAAGCCUCUAAGCAUCAGGUAACAUCAAAUCGUACCCCAAACCGACACAGGUGGUCAGGUAGAGAAUACCAAGGCGCUUGAGAGAACUCGGGUGAAGGAACUAGGCAAAAUGGUGCCGUAACUUCGGGAGAAGGCACGCUGACACGUAGGUGAAGUGAUUUACUCACGGAGCUGAAGUCAGUCGAAGAUACCAGCUGGCUGCAACUGUUUAUUAAAAACACAGCACUGUGCAAACACGAAAGUGGACGUAUACGGUGUGACGCCUGCCCGGUGCCGGAAGGUUAAUUGAUGGGGUCAGCGCAAGCGAAGCUCCUGAUCGAAGCCCCGGUAAACGGCGGCCGUAACUAUAACGGUCCUAAGGUAGCGAAAUUCCUUGUCGGGUAAGUUCCGACCUGCACGAAUGGCGUAAUGAUGGCCAGGCUGUCUCCACCCGAGACUCAGUGAAAUUGAACUCGCUGUGAAGAUGCAGUGUACCCGCGGCAAGACGGAAAGACCCCGUGAACCUUUACUAUAGCUUGACACUGAACAUUGAGCCUUGAUGUGUAGGAUAGGUGGGAGGCUUUGAAGUGUGGACGCCAGUCUGCAUGGAGCCGACCUUGAAAUACCACCCUUUAAUGUUUGAUGUUCUAACGUGGACCCGUGAUCCGGGUUGCGGACAGUGUCUGGUGGGUAGUUUGACUGGGGCGGUCUCCUCCUAAAGAGUAACGGAGGAGCACGAAGGUUGGCUAAUCCUGGUCGGACAUCAGGAGGUUAGUGCAAUGGCAUAAGCCAGCUUGACUGCGAGCGUGACGGCGCGAGCAGGUGCGAAAGCAGGUCAUAGUGAUCCGGUGGUUCUGAAUGGAAGGGCCAUCGCUCAACGGAUAAAAGGUACUCCGGGGAUAACAGGCUGAUACCGCCCAAGAGUUCAUAUCGACGGCGGUGUUUGGCACCUCGAUGUCGGCUCAUCACAUCCUGGGGCUGAAGUAGGUCCCAAGGGUAUGGCUGUUCGCCAUUUAAAGUGGUACGCGAGCUGGGUUUAGAACGUCGUGAGACAGUUCGGUCCCUAUCUGCCGUGGGCGCUGGAGAACUGAGGGGGGCUGCUCCUAGUACGAGAGGACCGGAGUGGACGCAUCACUGGUGUUCGGGUUGUCAUGCCAAUGGCACUGCCCGGUAGCUAAAUGCGGAAGAGAUAAGUGCUGAAAGCAUCUAAGCACGAAACUUGCCCCGAGAUGAGUUCUCCCUGAGACUUAGAGUCUCCUGAAGGAACGUUGAAGACGACGACGUUGAUAGGCCGGGUGUGUAAGCGCAGCGAUGCGUUGAGCUAACCGGUACUAAUGAACCGUGAGGCUUAACCUUACAACGCCGAAG
rnacentral:rRNA from 4 species